rnacentral:rRNA from 1 species
UGGGGAAUUUUGGACAAUGGGGGAAACCCUGAUCCAGCCAUCCCGCGUGUGCGAUGAAGGCCUUCGGGUUGUAAAGCACUUUUGGCAGGAAAGAAACGUCAUGGGUUAAUACCCCGUGAAACUGACGGUACCUGCAGAAUAAGCACCGGCUAACUACGUGCCAGCAGCCGCGGUAAUACGUAGGGUGCAAGCGUUAAUCGGAAUUACUGGGCGUAAAGCGUGCGCAGGCGGUUCGGAAAGAAAGAUGUGAAAUCCCAGAGCUCAACUUUGGAACUGCAUUUUUAACUACCGGGCUAGAGUGUGUCAGAGGGAGGUGGAAUUCCGCGUGUAACAGUGAAAUGCGUAGAUAUGCGGAGGAACACCGAUGGCGAAGGCAGCCUCCUGGGAUAACACUGACGCUCAUGCACGAAAGCGUGGGGAGCAAACAGGA